UUGAACCUGNCGGAAGGAUCAUU
rnacentral:rRNA from 1 species